UUCUUGGACAGAUAUUUCCCCUGUAUCUAAGGCUGUAAGGAUUACUAAAGUUGCCUCUAUCUGUUGUGCCCAGCUCUAUGUUUUUGCUGGUGAUUGUAGCGGCCUAUCUGGAGGCCCUGGGAUCUGGGAGCCGUUCAAGAGACGCAUGUGUUUCGAAACAUCCAGCACCUCCAUGGAGACAGGGAGGCCCUUUGACCUCAGGGAAUUAGUACGACUUCAAAGCGAUGCACAUAUGAAUGGGUACGGUGGAGAAGCCAACCACAACUCCCUGCGAGGGAUGCCAGGCUCUGCCUCCAGGGCUGCUAGCAGGAACACCCAGAGGAGGCCACAACCGAGGCCCACACACCCCCGAUCCCUCCCUCCCAGCCAGGCUCCAAAGUCUCAGACAUACCCCUCCUCUGGCCACAGGCCAGCCGCAAGGCCCGGAGCCCCAAGCAGCCACAGCCAGCUCCAGAGAACCAGCAGCACCCUUCACAGACUGGUCCUUCAGCCCCAGGAAGAAAUCCCCUAGAUGGGCCACGCCGGCACAGCUCGGAGGACUCGGACUAUGUGAGCCUGGUGGAGACCAUGGAUAAAGACCUGGACAGACCAGAGUCUGCUGAGGAGGGGGGGAAUCAGGAUGCAUUUUAUGGCAAAGCCAGUGCAGCCAAAGGAAAGUGCAGCAGACCAAAGCCAAGGCCCCAAAGAAGAAGGAAGAGCGGGAGAAGAGGAACAAGGGAAGAGCUCAGGGAGGAGAGGAACUGAGGAGGACAACGAUGACAGCUCCUCCACCACCACAGAGAACUCCAACCCAGACAUAAUGGAGGACAACAAAGGGAAGAAGAAAUAUGAUACUCCUGAAGCUCACUCAAAGUCCAGAACAAGAAGCCAGCAGCCAUUACAAAGGAGAAGAGCCAAAUGGAUGCAAAGUCUAGCUCACUGGAGCUUCCAUACGUUACCCCACUGGAAAACAAGCGCAAGAGCUUCAAUUCCAGAAACUGGUGGUGGUGCAGCAGGCCCUGGCCAGCAGCUCAACAACACAACCAUAACAAGACCCAUACCUCCUAAACCAAGAGGUCAGUUACUACCUUUCCAGCUAACUGACCUUUUGACUUUUCUGUUUUCUCACAUUGACAUGGCAAAUGUCUUGUUUGGUUUUUACCUGCCUUUUUUCCCACUGACUUGGGAGACACCUUCAGGACUGUGUAGGGUUAUGUUUGAGUCUCGUUCCCUCCUCUCAAACCCCAGUGCCUCGUGUGAAGCUGGAAGACUUCCGCCCCUCUCUCCUGGCUAAGUUCCUGUUCAACGAACCGGUGGUGCAGGAGCUGGGGAACAGCAGCGGCUCAGAAGGGGAGAAGGACAUCUCUCCUCCCCGGAGUGGGACUGUGUUCCCUCCACAUAGCACACAAUGGUGAGUUAUGUAGUGCACUACCACAACCCCCUCAUACCUGCUCCAAACCCGUUUCCCCACCUCUUCUAGCAUAUGAACUCUUUUUAACUUCCUGAAUCAAGCAUGUAUCAAUCCAGUCUUUCAAAUAAAACAAACCAAUUGAGUAUUGUGAUAAAGGCAGCCAUAUGACAUGCAUCUCCCCGUUUCCUCUCAGCUGUGGACAGUCUCCAGCAGAUCUCCCUGCAGACCAUGAACGCUGAUCCUCCCUGAAGAGACCCAUCAGAACCCCUAGCUNNNNNNNNNNNNNNNNNNNNNNNNNCUCUCUGUC
rnacentral:lncRNA from 1 species